GCUUAUGCGUUGUUGGGUAGGGGAGCGUUCUGUAAGCCUGUGAAGGUGUGUCGUGAGGCAUGCUGGAGGUAUCAGAAGUGCGAAUGCUGACAUAAGUAACGAUAAAGCGGGUGAAAAGCCCGCUCGCCGGAAGACCAAGGGUUCCUGUCCAACGUUAAUCGGGGCAGGGUGAGUCGACCCCUAAGGCGAGGCCGAAAGGCGUAGUCGAUGGGAAACGGGUUAAUAUUCCCGUACUUGGUGUUACUGCGAAGGGGGGACGGAGAAGGCUAUGUUGGCCGGGCGACGGUUGUCCCGGUUUAAGCGUGUAGGUGUGUGUUCCAGGUAAAUCCGGUU
rnacentral:rRNA from 1 species